rnacentral:rRNA from 1 species
CCUACGGGCGGCAGCAGUGGGGAAUAUUGGACAAUGGGGGCAACCCUGAUCCAGCCAUGCCGCGUGUGUGAAGAAGGCCCUCGGGUUGUAAAGCACUUUCAGUGAGGAAGAACGCCUGGUGGUUAAUACCCAUCAGGAAAGACAUCACUCACAGAAGAAGCACCGGCUAACUCCGUGCCAGCAGCCGCGGUAAUACGGAGGGUGCGAGCGUUAAUCGGAAUUACUGGGCGUAAAGCGCGCGUAGGUGGCUUGAUAAGCCGGUUGUGAAAGCCCCGGGCUCAACCUGGGAACGGCAUCCGGAACUGUCAAGCUAGAGUGCAGGAGAGGAAGGUAGAAUUCCCGGUGUAGCGGUGAAAUGCGUAGAGAUCGGGAGGAAUACCAGUGGCGAAGGCGGCCUUCUGGACUGACACUGACACUGAGGUGCGAAAGCGUGGGUAGUAAACAGGAUUAGAUACCCCAGUAGUC